rnacentral:rRNA from 1 species
CAGUCGCCGCGGUAAUACAGAGGGUGCGAGCGUUAAUCGGAUUUACUGGGCGUAAAGCGUGCGUAGGCGGCUUCUUAAGUCGGAUGUGAAAUCCCUGAGCUUAACUUAGGAAUUGCAUUUGAUACUGGGAAGCUAGAGUAUGGGAGAGGAUGGUAGAAUUCCAGGUGUAGCGGUGAAAUGCGUAGAGAUCUGGAGGAAUACCGAUGGCGAAGGCAGCCAUCUGGCCUAAUACUGACGCUGAGGUACGAAAGCAUGGGGAGCAAACAGGAUUAGAUACCCCAGUAGUCCCUGUCUAUUAUAC